rnacentral:sRNA from 1 species
CCUCACCCUCUCCUCUCUGCUGAAGGAAAGUCAGAGGCCUCGUGAGUCUGAGGCCCAAGGGGCUCUUCUUGCCUGGCUCCCUUAUCACUGUCCCCACCCCUGAAAUUAGCUGCUACAGGGCCCUGAGCAGUCACAA